GCAUUGGUGGUUCAAUGGGAGGAUUCUCGCCUGCCACGCGAGAGGCCCGGGUUCGAUUCCCAGCCAAUACA